rnacentral:rRNA from 1 species
AUGGUCUGCGGCAUGAGCCGCCUCCUCAAGGCCACCGUCGCUCUCGUCAUACUCGUCCUUAUCUUCAUGCCCGGGGCCAUGGCAGCCGCCGCUGCAAGCUUCGACGCCUCCCGGACACAGCAGCUGCCCCUGCCGCCCGGAGAAGUGCACGGGCCGGAGAGCGUCGCCUUCGACGCUCAGGGCCGAGGCCCCUACGGUGGCGUCUCUGACGGCCGCAUCCUGAGGUGGAACGGGCCCAAGCUCGGCUGGACAACAUACGCCUACGGACCAGGCUACGACAGCGAAACGUGCACGACAUCCAGGUUUGGCACGGAGGCGGACAUAGAAAGCCGCUGCGGCCGCCCGCUUGGCCUGCGCUUCAACGAGAAAAUGGGUGACCUCUAUGUGGCCGAUGCGUACAAAGGGCUUAUGCGUGUGCCGCCCGGCGGCGGGGAGGCCACCGUGUUGGUCGACCAGAUUGAUGGCAUGCCGCUGCGCUUCACCAACGGGGUUAACGUCGAUCAAUUGUUGAGGCACUAGAUCGAAGGGGUCGACACGGGCAAGUCCGAGCCUUUUGCCGACCUGCCGGGCUACCCAGAUAACGUUGGUGCCGACGGGAAGAUAGUCGAGCAGAUGAGAGGGUCAAAGAAAGUCAGGCCAACCGAGAUCAUGGAAAGAGAUGACGGCAAACUCUACUUGGGUUCGGUGGAGCUUCCCUAUGUCGGCGUAGUAAAAAGGAAGUAG